rnacentral:lncRNA from 1 species
GGAUCUGUGAGCAAAGAAGAUGGACUACUCAUUUACUAUGUGGUCCUUUUAGAAAAGCUUGCCAGCCCCUAUUUUAAUUUAGUCUACCUUCACAAAAUAUUCUACUUCAUAAACAAUUAAGAACCUUACAACUGUAUACUUCUAAUUUCCUCUUCUCCACUUUGUGCUGUUGUCAGAUUCUUUACUUCUACCUAUACUCCAAGGAAUAAUGUGCAGAUAACUACUUCACCACUCACUCUACAGCAGCACAAAAGCCCUGAUCUGUGGCAGUUACUAUCUUUAUGGUGUAAAACCUCCCACCAUGGCCAGUUUUAAGUGAGCAACAUGACGUUACUAAACAUGAAUUUGUGAAGAGAUGCUUCCUGUCAGCUCUGGCACACUAGUGGCUACAACCAGUUAUUAUUUUUUGUUUUAAAGAUCAAUUGUCUUUUAAAGAGAUUUAAAGAAAGACAUGAAGUAUUUGUAAAGGUCCGUUAUGUAUUUCCACAAAAACAUCUCAUAGUAUAGACACUCUGAUUUGGCUGUGGCUUGAGUGUGUCUCCCAAGGGUUCAUGUGUUGAGAUUUAAUUUCCAAUGUGAGGUCUUAGGAGGGUGAAAAGUUAAUAUGACUAUGGUGUUUAGAGGUGAGGCUUCUAGGAGGCAAUUAGGAAUAGAUAAGGUCAUGAGGGUGGAGCCACCAUUAUUG